rnacentral:lncRNA from 1 species
UCAGUCUACAGAUUCCUCUGAUGAAAAUAGAAUCAAACUCCAACAUCUCCUCUAAAUGGAGAUGGUUUCUGUUAACUUAAAUUGGAGUAUUACCUUUCUCAUUCAGACCGCUGCUGGAAUCCUUGGAAAUUCUCUACUCCUUUACUUUUAUAGCUUUACUUUUGUCCCCACACAAAUAGUGAGACCCAGAGACCUGAUUCUCAGCCAGCUGGUCUUAGCCAACAACCCGGUUCUUUUCUCUAAAGGGAUCCCUCAGACAGUGGCGGCUUUUGGAUUGAAACCUUUCCUGGAUGAGGCUGGAUGUAAACUUGUCUUCUACCUACACAGAGUGGCCAGAGGGGUUUCCCUCAGCACCACCUGCCUCUUCAGUGGCUUCCAGGCCAUGAAGCUUCACCCCAGUAUCUCUGGGAAGAUGGAACUCUGAAUUAGAUCCCCAAAGUUUAUAGUUUUCUGCUGUUUCCUCUGUUGGAUCUUGAAUCUUGUUGUAAAUAUUUAUACUGCAAAGUAAAUAACUGACCCAAUAAAGAGCAAAAACAUGAGUAUGGAAAAAAUGUAUAGAUACUGCUCCUCACCCUAUCCAGGAAGAUCGCUGUAUGUAAUAGUUGCAGUCAUUUACUGCUGCACAGAUGGUAUAUGUGUCUCCCGUAUAUGUGUCUCCCUCAUGAUCUGCACCAGCAGCUCCAUGGUCCUCGUCCUGCAUAGAUACAAGCAGAGAGUCCAACAUGUUCGCAGCCGCAACCUCUCCCGCAGAACAUCUCAUGAAACCACAACCACACACACCAUCCUCAUCCUGGUGAGCAUGUUUGUCUCCUCUCAUGCUCUAGCUGAUAUUUUGUCAUUGUGCGUAACCCAGAUUCAGAAUCCAAGCCAAUGGCUGAGAAGUACCUCUUUCCUGGCGUCUGCAGGAUUCCCGACAUUCAGCCCCUUUGUGUUCAUUGUCAGUGACGCCCGAGUGUCACGGUUCUACUUUGUGUGCUAGAUAAGGAAGAGAAAUGCCCCAGGUAUGGUC